rnacentral:rRNA from 2 species
AGAGUUUGAUCCUGGCUCAGGAUGAACGCUGGCGGCAUGGCUAAGGCAUGCAAGUCGAAUGGUCUAGUUUACUAGACCAUGGCAAACUGGAGAGUAACACAUUGGUAAUCUGCCUCCGAUUCGUGGAUAACCCGGAGAAAUCUGGAAUAAUACACGAUAGUCUUUAAAAUCAUAUGUUUUUAAAGUAAAGUUCCGGCGAUCGGAGAGGAGCCUAUGGCCUAUCAGCUUGUUGGUGAGGGUAAAAGCCCACCAAGGCAAUGACAGGUAGCGGGUGUGAGAGCAUGGCCCGUCUCACUGGGACUGAGACACUGCCCAGACUCCUACGGGAGGCUGCAGUCACGAAUCUUCCACAAUGGCCGAAAGGCUGAUGGAGCAAUGCCGCGUGGUUGAAGAAGCCCUUCGGGGUGUAAAAAUCUUUUAUUAGGGACGAAACAAUGACGGUACCUAAUGAAUAAGGGGCUGCUAACCUCGUGCCAGCAGCAGCGGUAAUACGAGGGCCCCUAGCGUUAUCCGGAUUUAUUGGGCGUAAAGGGUCCGUAGGUGGUUUGUCACAUCUCCUGUUAAAUCUCCCGACUCAAUCGGGAAACCGCGGGAGAGAUGGGCAAACUAGAGGACGGGAGAGGCAAGCGGAAUUGUUGGUGUAGGGGUUAAAUCCGUUAAUAUCAACAGGAACACCAAAAGCGAAGGCAGCUUGCUAGAACGUACCUGACACUAAAGGACGAAAGCGUGGGGAGCGAAUGGGAUUAGAUACCCCAGUAGUCCACGCCGUAAACGAUGGAUGCUAAGCAUUGGAAGUAUCGACCCUUCCAGUGCUGUCUACCUAAGCUAACGCAUUAAGCAUCCCGCCUGGGGAGUACGGCCGCAAGGCUAAAACUCAAAGGAAUAGACGGGGACCCGCACAAGCGGUGGAGCAUGUGGUUUAAUUCGAUACCAAGCGAGGAACCUCACCUAGGUUUGACAUUCAGCUGCAGACCCUGAGAAAUCAGGGAGCCUUCGAGGGUGCUGAACAGGCGCUGCAUGGUUGUCGUCAGCUCGUGUCGUGAGAUGUACCGUUAAGUCGGAAAACGAGCGCAACCCCUAUCCUAUGUUUUAUAUGUCAUAGGAAACUGCCCGCUUUAAGUGGGAGGAAGGCGGGGAUGACGUCAAAUCAGCAUGGUCCUUACACCUAGGGCGACACACGUGCUACAAUGGGAAGUACAAAGGGACGCCAAGCCGCGAGGUGGAGCAAAUCCCACAAAACUUUCCUCAGUUCGGAUUGGAGUCUGCAACUCGACUCCAUGAAGUUGGAAUCGCUAGUAAACGCGCAUCAGCCAUGGCGCGUUGAAUACGUUCUCGGGUCUUGUACUCACCGCCCGUCAUGUCAAGGGAGUCGGCAAUACCCGAAUCUCGAUGUAGUUCGAGAGAAGGUAGGGCUGGUAACAGGGACAAAGUCGUAACAAGGUA